rnacentral:sRNA from 5 species
AUAUCUCUCCGUACGGGAAGGAUGAGAAGCUUCGACUAAGGUUCGAUUCGAGCGCAGCGAGAACGCGUUGCCGCAGG